CAACAUUUUGUUUCUCCACCUCACCAAAAGAAAUAAAAAUUUACUAAAAAACACAAUCUCCGCUUUCUACGCUCUCGACAUUAUCGAUCUCCCCCUCUCUUCAGAAAGGUUUCUUCUAUCUGUUCCUAUUCCGUUUUGAAAUCGAGAAUCAACAAUCAUAAUGGUUUCUUGGAUCUCCCUCUCUCUUCCUCUUUCAAUCCGACCGCUCAAUCAGAUGUUUAUGGAUGAUGUGCAUUAGUUUUUCUAUCAAAUACUUAUGUUUCCACACUUGUCUGUUUUCAUCGUUUUUAUCUGAUUCUGUCUUAUUGAUGAAACAACAGCAACGUUUGCCCUCUUUCAUCAGAAACAUGGUCCAUGAUUGAAGAUCAAUCUCGGCGUCUUCCUUCUAGAUUGCAUUUACUUCUUGUCUCUCUCAGAACAGAGACAUUCCGUGUUCUGUUCGUUUGCUUCACAUUGUCAUGAUGGUGGAGAUUUGGGAGUCUGUAAACCCGUAGCGACCGAGUCUGGGUUUCGUUUCUCGUCGAAGCUGGCUUUUGAUGAGAUCUAUUCGGCGAGUUUUAGAGUUCAGCGAUCCUCACCACUCUCUCCUUACGCGGCAAGCAGUCAUAACAGUAGAAGCGAAUCAGAACAAGCGUCAUCAUCCUCUAGACUUGAACACGUUGAAAGGACAUGGUGAUUCUGUUAAUGCCCUCUCUUUCUCAUCUGAUGGAAAGAGCUUAGCCACAGCUUGCGCUGAUGGAGUGAUCAGAGUUUUCAAGCUAGAUGAUGCCUCAAGCAAAAGCUUCAAGUAUAUAUCUUCUCAAUACACCUGCUAGGUUGAUGUUUUCUCAUGAAAGGCGAAGCAUGGGGGGGAGAUGGGAGUAAACUGGUUGUUGUAUAUGUUAAACAGCAGAAAAAUAAAAUUAAUUUGGUUUAUGCUGAGCCGAAACGGUCUGGUGGAGGUAGUACCUGAGAGCCACAGGAAGAUCUUGGCCAAUAUGGUUGGGGUUCACGAAGAGGUUAGGUUCCUGGUCCUAACUAGAGAAGAAGGAAACAAAGGUGGAGAAGAGGAAGAAGUACACAGUUUUAGAUGGAGUUCGGAAGAGAGAUCCCGAUCAAAUAUGAGUUUGGGAGAUCACAUAUGGAGUUUCUCUUAACCGAGGACAUGGCACGGAAGCCAUAGAAACUGGCGUCUCUGUCAUUGGAGUAAACACUUCUUUGUGGUGAGCCUUGCUUCCUACGCAAGCAUCAGAAGCAGCAGCUCAAAUCUGGGAGGUUCAACUGUUAUGUUGUAUCAAAUUCAAGAGAGCGUAGGAGGUUCAUUUGUAUGCUGUUAUGACUGAAAUUUUGUAUACAAGUACGGGACACUGCAGAUUCAGAAUUCAACGGUGGGUUCAAAAAGUGGACGGUCAGUUUAUUAGUUAUUCAUGUAUUUCUGAACCGGUUUGUUGCAUUGUAAAACAGAGUGGUAUUUUGAUGGAUCGUCUUGUUUGGUUGGGAAAAUGAGCUCGGACUGAGCUCAUAUUUGGAAGGAACCUUAUGGACUCGUGGAUAAAUGUUCAAGUAUAAGGAGAGAUGGUCUGGAGUUCGGGAACAUGGGAAACGAACGGAACAAGAGAUCUGUCCAAAGUUGAGAAAAUGAGAACUUGUCGUCAAGUGUCUAAGGUGAGGGAUUUAUGGAAGCAUAGUUCAUAUUUUUCUAUUAUACUACAUGAUUUAUAAUAUGUAGGUUUAAUCUGAUUGUUAUCCAAUUGAUUUAUCCAAUUGGCUGUGGACUUAUCCGAUUUCUAUAGAUAGCAGAAGCAGUUGCUAAAUUGUAUACAAACAACAUGCCAAGCUUAGUGAUGACAUAUACCAAGUGAAAUUGUGAGAGACAUGUAGGGAAAAAGGUGCCAUGAUUUUUCACCAGAAACUACGAAAGUUAAUUUAACUUAACUUGUAAUGCAACUAUAAACCUGCAUGACUAGAUGAAAAUCAUCGGCAAUAUCUGGGGAAAAGAGAGAUCUGCCUGUUUCUUUGAAACUGAUGGUUUUCUGCGAAAAAAAAAAACAUUUCCCAUCUUUAGACGUCAGAUGAUUACGAACUAAAAAAUGUAGUGAAAGAUACUAAAUAAACAUGAAAAUAUUAAGCAGUGGAGGAACCUAACCUGUUUGUGCAC